rnacentral:rRNA from 1 species
GAUGAACGCUGGCGGUGUGCCUAAUACAUGCAAGUCGAGCGAACAGACGAGGAGCUUACUCCUCUGACGUUAGCGGCGGACGGGUGAGUAACACGUGGAUAACCUACCUAUAAGACUGGGAUAACUUCGGGAAACCGGAGCUAAUACCGGAUAACAUGUUGAACCGCAUGGUUCAACAGUGAAAGACGGUCUUGCUGUCACUUAUAGAUGGAUCCGCGUCGCAUUAGCUAGUUGGUAAGGUAACGGCUUACCAAGGCAACGAUGCGUAGCCGACCUGAGAGGGUGAUCGGCCACACUGGAACUGAGACACGGUCCAGACUCCUACGGGAGGCAGCAGUAGGGAAUCUUCCGCAAUGGGCGAAAGCCUGACGGAGCAACGCCGCGUGAGUGAAGAAGGUCUUCGGAUCGUAAAACUCUGUUAUUAGGGAAGAACAAAUGUGUAAGUAACUAUGCACGUCUGGACGGUACCUAAUCAGAAAGCCACGGCUAACUACGU